rnacentral:rRNA from 1 species
AACGAACGCUGGCGGCAGGCCUAACACAUGCAAGUCGAGCGAGCAUUUCGGUGCUAGCGGCGGACGGGUGAGUAACGCGUGGGAACGUGCCCUUUUCUGCGGAAUAGUCCUGGGAAACUGGGGGUAAUACCGCAUACGCCCUUUUGGGGAAAGAUUUAUCGGAGAAGGAUCGGCCCGCGUUGGAUUAGGUAGUUGGUGGGGUAAUGGCCCACCAAGCCGACGAUCCAUAGCUGGUUUGAGAGGAUGAUCAGCCACACUGGGACUGAGACACGGCCCAGACUCCUACGGGAGGCAGCAAUGGGGAAUCUUAGACAAUGGGGGCAACCCUGAUCUAGCCAUGCCGCGUGAGUGAUGAAGGCCUUAGGGUUGUAAAGCUCUUUCAGCUGGGAAGAUAAUGACGGUACCAGCAGAAGAAGCCCCGGCUAACUCCGUG